AAACAUCCUUAAACUCUUUUUCAAUCAUAAAGGUUGGAAACUGAGAACCCAUGUGUACUUUCAGAAUAUUUAUUGGACGUCUAUAUUGAAAAAUGGCAAAGGAUACCACUGUAUUCAUUAAAUGGUUAAAACAAUGAUUUGAACUAAAAGCUUGAAACUGUAUUCCCUCACAUUUUGAUCAUUCAUUUCUUCAUUAAUUGAGAUUUAGAGUGUAUGGACUUAAUCAGAGUUUCAUAAACAGAUAAUAGCCUGAAUACAAAGGGAGCACCAGGAAAUUCAAUGACUACAUUCUAAAUAUGUUCUUGUUUGCAUGUAAGAGAGUCUCUAAAUGAAUGAAUCAUUGAUUAAACAGAUGGGUUGUGGGUGGUAAAUCCUGACCAAGGUUCUUGUUUCUUUUACAACAGAAAUGUUUCCCAAGAGUGCACACUUUAGAUGCUUUACACCAACUCAGAUUAGUUGUGCAUUCACAGCAUUGAUGAUUGUCUUUCUUGAAAAUCUACCAUUUUGCAAUCCAGGCCAUGUAUCCUCCAGAAAGACUCACAAGGAUGAGAAAAUGUGGAUGGUGCUGCACAAAUCUAAAUCACUACAACUGAUACCCCGGUGCAGGUACUCAUUCUUAAUAGUCUCAGGACCUAGAGUGAUCCCUAGUUCUUAAUGUGAGACUCCAUCCAUCCAACUAUCCUGUGACAGCAGGAUACCCAACCAACUGUUGAAAUUGGGAAACUGCAACAGCAGAGAGAACUGAAAAAAAAUGUUUCCAGGACACAGUAAAACAAAGCCUCAGACAAUGUUGCAGCCCAGCUGAAAACCUGGUAGAUAAUUGCCGCGGAUAGACCAGCAUGACAUACUCCUGUACCUGCAAUGGUCUUUUCAGUCACAUAUGCAUUCCUAGGUGAAUUUCAGCACCAGUAGGAUGUUUUCAGCUGCAAAAAACUCUAUCUAUGCACCUACAAAUUGAAAUUAUGAGAAUCAUGAAUAAUGCUGAUGAUUUUUAGGAGAGAUGAACCAUGUCAAGUGAAAAAAAGCCUGUAGGUUAAGCCAGUAGAAUUUCCCAACAUCUGAACUAUAAAGGAUUCUAGCCUGUAAGCUUGUUGUGCGCAGGGAAUGUGUCUGUUUAUAGUGAUAUUGUACUCUCGCAAGCACUUAGUACAGUGCUCUGCACAUAGCUAGUGCUCAAUAAAUACGUUUGAAUGAACGAAUGAAUAAAGGACUUCCAUCCACUUUUAUGACUACUGCUGAUACUUUUGGCAGUAAGAAUUAGAGAUAUGAUCAAAGGAAAAUUUCCUUGUUUAGAAAUUUCCAGCAUCACAGCUGGACUCUUUGUGAGAGGUCACUAUUGUAUCAGUAACACAUUUUACAAAAACUGUCUGUGUAUUUCAGCUGCACAUCAAAGCAACGUGUUACUAGUCAUUUGACAAUUUGUUACAAAGUAUUUUUCCUCUUUACAAAAGCCUAGGCCUUUUUCAUGCAUUGAAAGAAAAGAUUGUGUCAACAAUCACCCUCUUAUUUACUGCGGUUUAAAAUCUGGUGAUGGAUAUUUACUUGCACUGUGUAAUGGCUCAGUGGGAGAGGGGAAAGGAGUUUAACGACACUGUUAAAGGAAAGGAAAGGAACAACAGUAUUCACUUGGUAAACAGGCAUUUCAAAGCUUUAACUCAAAAAGCACAUUGGAUUAGCCAGUGACCUCUAUUUAUCAGCUUUAACUAUCUAAUGAUGCCCAGGAAUGCUGAAUUCCAUUCCUCUGCCACAUUGGUUACUUGGGUCAUAUUUUAUGGCUGGAUUAAAAACACCUAUUUGCCCUGAAUUUCAGUGAAUUUUUGUAAGCAAACACCUAGGGGUGGUCACUUAAAGACAGCUUUCUGGGAUCCUCUGCAGCUCUUAAAGACAACAGUGCCGAAUCUGAUCUCCCACUGGUGUUUUUAACUAUACUGAAAAUUAGCAAUGUCAAUUUCACCCCUUUAUUGCUCUUCACGUUGAUUGAGGAAUGGAUGGCCAAAAUUCAUGUACGCAGCAUACAUUCGUCUCGCUAUAUUCAGUGUGACUCAGCCCUCUCAGGGAUGAAAUGUCAAUCCACAAUCCUAUAUCUAAACUUAAAAAUUUGUCACAACAUGACCCAGAGACAGUCAAGGUUUGAUAGUUUUCAGAAAAUAAUAGACUUGCAAGAAUUCCUAAUCCCUAUGGAGCUUCUGAGCCAAAGGUGAAUGAUGGGGUUUUGUCUGUGGUGAAAAAUACGUUUUGAAAUCUGUGUUCUGUGUUGUGGGUUUUUGUAUUCUCCUCUGCAAAUCCUGUUUCAGGAAUGAAGCCUGACCAAAUUGAUCCAGCAAGAAUUCUGUAUUGUUCCAUUGCAUGAGAGAACAUUCUGGAAAGGAGUUAUUUAAGAUGAACUUGACUAUUCACAUUUCAUAUAUAAGUAAAACAGAUGCUAAUGAAUGGAAGUUGUUACAUUUGGGACCAAAUUGUCAGCUAUCUUUAUAUUUAAAAGAGCUUGUGGAUAAUUACUGUUAAUAAAUGUUGCAAAUAAAGUAAAUUUAUAGGUUUUUCAUGAAUGGUUUAGCCUCCAGUUUCCCCUAGUGAUAUUUUUAAGUGCUUUUAUUUUACAUGUUUAAGGUUUGAACUUCCAAGGGCCAAAUCUCCGCAAUUCAUACCUGCCUAAAACCUAUGUGCUCUGAUAAUCACUGUAUUGCCAACUCAGAAAAAGGCUCAUGCAUUAAGGCUAGGCCUAGAGUAAACACCCGGAAAACUCAAAUCUCCCAAAUCAAACAGUGGAUUCAUUUAUCCAGCAAUUCUGGACAAAGAGUUUGAAUGUUGUCAUGUUACUAUUAAAAAUCCCAUCUGAAAAUAACUUUUAGGUUGGGUCUUUUCUACAGAAUUGUAUUUAAGUCAGGUCCCCCAAUUCUCCCAAACUACUUUAGCCUGAAAUAUCUGAAACAUUUAAAUAUCCAGAUCACUCUUGGUCUAGAUUUCCUAUUGGCAUGUUCUUGUCAUUUAAUAGUUAUGGGAAUGAUUAGAAGUUUCCUUGGGUAUCACAGUUCUUUAUUUAGUAUUAAAGGCAUAUACGGUGAGGCUCAGUUUACCAGUUUAUCGUUGAUUAUUCUUGGGAGAAAGGGAGCUUGAUGAGGCCCGCAUCUCUAAGUAUAAACUGUCCAACAAUCCCUCAACAUUUGAUACCAUACGUUUCAGUGCCUUUCAUGCCUCUUAUGUUUAGGCUGUGACCUUUCUGAGUAAACCUGUUUUUCUUAAUUCAGCUUCUAGUGA
rnacentral:lncRNA from 1 species